rnacentral:rRNA from 1 species
GACUGCUAAUACCGGAUAUGCCGGAAGGUGAAAGGCUUGCUGCCUGAAGAUAAGCUCGCGUCUGAUUAGCUAGUAGGUGUGGUAAGAGCGCACCUAGGCGACGAUCAGUAGCUGGUCUGAGAGGAUGAUCAGCCACACUGGGACUGAGACACGGCCCAGACUCCUACGGGAGGCAGCAGUGGGGAAUUUUCCGCAAUGGGCGAAAGCCUGACGGAGCAAUACCGCGUGAGGGAGGAAGGCUCUUGGGUCGUAAACCUCUUUUCUCAAGGAAGAAGAAAGUGACGGUACUUGAGGAAUAAGCAUCGGCUAACUCCGUGCCAGCAGCCGCGGUAAUACGGAGGAUGCAAGCGUUAUCCGGAAUGAUUGGGCGUAAAGGGUCCGCAGGUGGUACUGUAAGUCUGCUGUUAAAGAGUCUGGCUCAACCAGAUAAAAGCAGUGGAAACUACAGAACUAGAGUGCGUUCGGGGCAGAAGGAAUUCCUGGUGUAGCGGUGAAAUGCGUAGAUAUCAGGAAGAACACCGGUGGCGAAAGCGUUCUGCUAGGCCGCAACUGACACUGAGGGACGAAAGCUAGGGGAGCGAAAGGGAUUAGAUCCCCCAUUUAAUAAA